rnacentral:rRNA from 1 species
UACAGAGACUGCAAGCGUUGUUCGGAAUUACUGGGCGUAAAGCGCGCGCAGGCGGUCUUCCAAGUCAGUGGUGAAAGCCCGGAGCUCAACUCCGGAACUGCCAUUGAAACUGUUGGACUUGAGUACGAGAGAGGUGAGUGGAAUUCCCAGUGUAGAGGUGAAAUUCGUAGAUAUUGGGAAGAACACCGGUGGCGAAGGCGGCUCACUGGCGCGUAACUGACGCUCAGGCGCGACAGCGUGGGGAGCAAACAGG